rnacentral:lncRNA from 1 species
UAUAUAUAUAUAUUGCUUUCUGACUUUUUAAUAUACAUAUAUAUAUUCCAGCAACACAGUGUUUAGGGCGGAAAGAAACGCUAUUAAAAACUGACAAAGCACAGUACAUUGAGACUGAUAUAAUAAACAAGACAGGUUGGAUUCCAGGUCCUUUCAACCUGCAACUGAACCUGUUUUGUUUGUUACAUCCAUCUUCCUACAUCAUGUUUUGUCAGCGAAAAGUCCUUUGAAAAUUUUCAAAUUCUGGCAUAUAAGUAACAGUGGAAGAAAAUUGUUGAGAUAGAGAGAACUUUUUAUCUUGGUUCAGUCAACUGUGUUAGCUUCACAAAAGAUGCCUGUGUGUUCUUGCUAGCUGUUUAGACAAUACUUUGCGACUUACAGAUAACGAAGGGUGAAGUGCGUUCUGAAAAUGCAAGAAGAAAUGGCCCCUGCCAUUAGUGGUUACCGAUUGAAGCAAACACAAAAAAGAAAAUUCCCUGCUUGGGUUACCAACAUAGUAGCUGGGAUUGAAAGAAGGCAUCGAGAGAAGAUAGAAAUUUGUAACAACACUUUGUAUCGAAAAUAAUUGAAAAAUGAUUUAACACCUUAUUUUAAAAUCUUGCUACAGACUUCUCUUCUUUCAACAAUUUCUGUGUUUAAAUGUUUUAUUAUUUGCUACCCCAUUUUUAAUUUGGUGCUUUCCAAAAACACUUUUUCAUCAAACUUCUUAAAAAAUUUAAUACAAAUAACUAACUUAUCCAAACAUAAGAUUUCUUUCUUCUAUAUGAGUCAUUCGAUUGCAAAACUUGUUUAAAUUAUAUUGAAUUUUUCUGCUAAAUUUUAUAUGUAGAAAAAAUUACAUUUUUUAAGUAAUUUAUCCAGCUGACUACUUGAAAUUUGUAUGAAAGUUUAUAAUAAAAGUUAAAAUUUCAUUUUGACGG